rnacentral:rRNA from 1 species
GACGAACGCUGGCGGCAUGCCUAAUACAUGCAAGUCGAGCGAACAGAUGAAGUGCUUGCACUUCUGACGUUAGCGGCGAACGGGUGAGUAACACGUAAGGAAUCUACCUAUAAGCGGGGGAUAACAUUCGGAAACGGGUGCUAUUACCGCAUAAUAUCUUCUUCCGCAUGGAAGAAGAUUGAAAGACGGCUCUGCUGUCACUUAUAGAUGACCUUGCGGUGCAUUAGUUAGUUGGUGGGGUAAUGGCCUACUAAGACGAUGAUGCAUAGCUGGACUGAGAGGGUGAUCGGCCACAGUGGUGCUGAGACACGGGUCAAACUCCUACGGGAGGCAGCAGUAGGGAAUCUUCCGCAAUGGGCGAAAGCCUGACGGAGCAAUGCCGCGUGAGUGAAGAAGGCCUUCGGGUCGUAAAACUCUGUUAUAAGAGAAGAACAAAUUGUAGAGUAACUGCUACAGUCUUGACGGUAUCUUAUCAGAAAGCCACGGCUAACUACGUGCCAGCAGCCGCGGUAA